GUAAAGGUUAUCACUGCUUCAAAGUGGCUGUCACCCUACUAACCAGGGCUGCCCACCCAGACUCCCAGAGGGCAUACCUGGGGCUGGAAACUCACUCCCUGCCUUUCUGCAGAUGCCUGUGUGAAGGGAGGACUCAGAUGCACUCCCUGUGGUCUGGGCUCAACCAGCCAAAAGAGCAACAAAGACUCCAGAACCCACUCUACAUCCUCAAUCCCUUGGCCAUCUGUGGAGCCCCAGAGCCUGCGGCUGUGGCAAGGCCUGUUUCUGCGCUGGACCUGCUCACCUGAGCCUGCAGAAGCUGCAUGGGGGAAGAGUGUGGCAAAUAGUGACAGGAAGGGAGAAGACAGAAGCCUCUCAGCCAACUGCUUCAGCCGAGCCCCUAUUCUAAGCACUGGCUCCUUGGAUAGCAGCUGAGAUGUUCCUGAAACCUCUGCAGGCCCCUUAGGACCUUUACACCUUGGAUGAGGGUGCCUGCAACCCAGGUUAGCCAAAAGUACUGAGGGUCUUAAGUUUGAAGUGUCCAAAGUAUAGGGAGGUCUCAAUAAUAAAAGUCUCCAUGAUCAGCAUCAGCUUGCUGGGGUGUCAGUGAAAAGGAAAAAUGAUGAAACAGACACCACAAAAUAUCUGACCAGAAGCCAUUUAUUACCAAACCAAUUUAUUUCUUAGAGUUCAAAACCUUCUGUGAGAAUCUUCUCUGGCCUGGUUGGAGAUCCACCUUCUUUUUUUUUUUUUUUUGAGACGGAGUUUUGCUCUUGUUGCUCAGGAUGGAGUGCAAUGACGUGAUCUCAGCUCACUGCAACCUCUGCCUCCUGGGUUCAAGUGAUUCUCCUGCCUCAGCCUCCUGAGUAGCUGGGACUAUAGGCGUGUGCCACCAUGCCUGGCUAAUUUUUGUAUUUUUAGUAGAGACGGGGUUUCUCCAUGUUGGUCAGGCUGGUCUUAAACUCCUGACCUCAGGUGAUCCGCCCGCCUUAAAAAAAAAAGUGGUGGGAUUACAGGCAUGAGCCACCACGCCCGGCAGGAGAUCCAGCUUCUUAAGCCUCAAACUCAAAUUCGAAGUACUGUGGGUCGAAGUAAUGGAUACGGACGUAACCAUCUUCGCCACCGCUGCUGUAGCUGGAAAAAGAUAGCCAGGCACCAGUCAGGUGCUUACUCUGGGAGAGGCAGAGACCCAACCCAGGCUUAGGUCAGCUGCUUCACUGGGACCCUACCUCUUGCCAUCAGGAUGGAAGGCAACACUGUUGAUAGGUCCAAAGUGACCCUUGACUCUUCCAAACUCUUCUUCAAAGGCCAAAUGGAAGAACCUGGAGGAAAAGGGACACAAUUAAUUCACUUUCUAUCUUCUUCCAAAACACUUUGGAGGUGGCACUCCCCAAAUGCAAAUUGUUAUUAUUAUUUAUUUAUUUUGAGAUG
rnacentral:lncRNA from 1 species